AGUGAACGCUGGCGGUAGGCCUAACACAUGCAAGUCGAACGGCCGCACAGUAAGAGCUCGCUCUUACGGGUGGCGAGUGGCGGACGGGUGAGGAAUACAUCGGAAUCUACUUUUUCGUGGGGGAUAACGUAGGGCAACUUACGCUAAUACCGCAUACGACCUACGGGUGAAUGCAGGGGAUCUUCGGACCUUUCGCGAUUGAAAGAGCCGAUGUCGGAUUAGCUAGUUGGGGGGGUAAAGGCCCACCCAGGCGAGGAUCCGUAGCUGGUCUGAGAGGGUGAUCGGACACACUGGAACUGAGACACGGUCCAGACUCAUACGGGAGGAAGCAGUAGGGAAUAUUGCGAAAGGGGGGAAAGCUUGAAGGAGCAACGCCGCGUAAGUGAUGAAGGUCUUCGGAUCGUAAAACUCUGUUAGUAGGGAAGAACAAAUGGGUAAGUAAAUAUGCACGUCUUGACGGUACCUAAUCAGAAAGCCACGGCUAACUACGUG
rnacentral:rRNA from 1 species